ensembl:lncRNA
GUUGCUGUCCGCGGUGCUGAAUCCUGACGCGACUGCGGAAGAGAAGUGGCGGACCCGAGAAAUUGCUCUGCAAAUCUUCUCAUAUUUUCACUUUCACUCGCAAUUAUCUCAUCCAUCAAUUUUGGACCAUCCUGUAUUUAACACUGACACUAUGUUUUAGCAAAGGUGUGUAAUGGAUUAGACUAGGUAGAGUAAUGGAUUCGCCGUGUUCCAUCAUCUUCGCUGUGUUGGCUCUUUGCCUGUCUCUUCCAACUACCUCCGCUGACAGCAAAUUUGGUUGCCUGUUUGAGGAUGAGCUCUGUACACCUUACGAGUUCUGCGCUAACGACAGAGUGUUUGGAAGGUGUCUGGAGUUACCUAGUGCGGACCUAUACACCUAUGAUGUGUCAGCCUCUGCUCUACAGCACCUGAGGAGUCUCCUCCAGAAACUGUCCCACAGAGGGUUGACAUGGCAGGAUGCUACCACCCAGCAGGUGAUCUCCAGAGAGCUUUCCAAGAUACGCAAGGUUCCUAUCCGAAGGCCGGAACCCCCUUCUGCCUCUCUGACACUCUAUGGUGGAGCCAGGAAGCUCAAGACUGGAAAGGGAGAGCUUGGCAUCCAGAAGUACCUGCAAGAGCUUGGUCUCCUUCCCCAGUCUGUUGGCACUGCUCGCCAGGGGCCCCAGCGAGAGAACUUCCAGCCCAAGAAGGGAAAGUCUACAUUCUAUAGUCUACAGUCUGCAGAACCACCCCAGGGGGGUAAGGUCUUCACAAAGGGGGCCGUGGGGAGCUGGAGACCCCCAGUGGAGACAGCCUACUCCAGCCAGGAGCCUGGGAGUGCCAGGGGAAGUGCCAAGGGGUUGACUGCCCAGCUGGAGCGCUACCUGGCUGGGGCAGCACACACCCAGAGCCGCCCUUUACAAGGGGCAGUGGUGGGAUCAGUGGUGGGACCCAAGGGCAAGCUCCACUAUGUCAGCUAUGUCAGCCCUGUACGCUCUGGUGAUCAGGUGGAACCCCAGACACGACUUGGUGGCAGUGGCUCCAAACCUCCAAGGCCCAACAUAGACAGGCUUCUCUUCAAGGCUGCUUCCAACCAUCAGGUGCCCAAGGAACAGCUCAGUACAGUGGAUGAACGGUUCAUCCAGAACGUGGUCAACCAGCUGGGGAGGCAGAGAGUGAACAUGGACGGUUUGAUGGGUAAAGACCUGAACCAGCUGGCAGACAUCAUCUCUGAGGCCCUGCAUGUGGUGGAUGGGGAGGGGCCCGGGGCCAGAGCUAAGCCCAGGGUCAUGGCACCCAUACGGGACAGGCAGAUGAAGAGAGAGCCCUUACCUUCCAAGGACCAGGAUGAGGAGGACCAAGACGACAUGUUGGGGCAAGAUGCAAGUGAUGAGCCGGAUGCCCAGAUGGAGGUUGAUGGUGCUGGGGCAGCAGGCGGCCCCUCUAUUGAGGGCCAGAGAACAGUGGGUCUGGAGAAUGUGAGAAGCAGGACCACACAGGGAGAGGAUAGAUCUCCAGACCAACCAAUGGAUGUCCAGGCUUCUGAAUCCAUGGUAGACUCCGAGGUGGAGAGGUGGAUCCACGGUACCAAAGCUCCUCCUCCUCUGGAGGCUGAGACAGACCUCUUGGCAGAUAAACCACAGAAGAAGAAUCUCCUAGCAGAGCCACAGAAACAGGACAUGCGACUCCAGGAGGAGGAGGAGGUGGUGCAUAUGGGGGUCAAAGCUUACUCAAAGGCACAUCGAGGGAAAAACCACCUCGGCGACUUUGGCUACAUCAUUACAGACACACUAGCUUUUCCUCUUUUGCUUCUAUAUUUCAGAGUGCUGGGUCCAGCUGUGACCUUCAGGGUGGGCUCCAACCCUCAUAAUGUCAGCACUGCAGAUCUGGCCAACGUUGCAGGGCAUUUAAUCAUCCCCUUUUCUCUCUCUCUCUCUUCCCAGAAGGGCAGCUUGAGACAGAUCCCAGUGGUCAAGGAGAGUCAUCUGGAGUCUGGUCAGUUCAUGGUCUUGACCAUCAUCUCCAUGGUCCUGAUCAUGGGGGCGCUGGCAGUGUCUGGCUGGCUCUUCUGCCUGCGCCACCGCUCCCACCUCCAACUGAAGGAGAAACUAGCCAGCCUGGGGACUGACACCAGCGCUGAUGCAACCGCAACCUAUCAGGAGCUGUGUCGCCAGCGGAUGGCUGUGCGGACAUCGGAGCGUCCGGAGCGUGCGGAGUGCCCGGAGCCUCUGCGGCGCCUCUCGCGGCUGAACAGCUCGUCUUCUCAGUUCAGCGACGGGGGACCCAUAGCCAGCCCCUCGGCCCGUAGCUCCACUUCCUCCUGGUGCGAAGAGCCUGUCCCUUCCAACAUGGACAUCUCCACCGGCCACAUGAUACUGUCGUACAUGGAGGACCACUUGAAGAACAAGAACCGCCUGGAGAGGGAGUGGGAGGCGAUGUGUGGUUACCUGGCUGAGCCCGGUGACUGUGACGUGGGCCAGGGCCAACACAACACCAAGAGGAACCGCUCUGACACCGUGGUUGUCUAUGAUCAUUCCAGAAUCACCUUGAAGGCUGAGAAUAACCAUGGCAACUCGGAUUACAUCAAUGCUAGCCCAAUUAUGGACCAUGACCCGAGGAACCCCAUGUACAUCGCUUCACAAGGCCCUCUACCCUCCACCGUGGCUGACUUCUGGCAGAUGGUGUGGGAGAGUGGCUGCGUGGUCAUCGUCAUGCUAACGCCCCUGUCUGAAAAUGGAGUGAAACAGUGUCAACAGUACUGGCCAGACGAGGGCUCCAAUGUCUACCAUGUUUAUGAGGUGAACCUGGUGUCAGAACACAUCUGGUGUGAGGACUUCCUGGUCAGGAGUUUCUACCUGAAGAACUUGCAGACCAACGAGACACGCACUGUCACGCAGUUCCACUUCCUUUCCUGGGUAGACCACAGCAUCCCUGACUCAGCCAGGACACUGCUGGACUUCCGUAGAAAGGUUAACAAGUGCUACCGGGGUCGGUCUUGUCCAAUAAUUGUCCACUGCAGUGACGGGGCUGGCCGAAGCGGAACGUACAUCCUGAUUGACAUGGUCCUCAAUAGGAUGGCUAAAGGUGCUAAAGAGAUUGAUAUUGCCGCUACCCUGGAGCACUUGAGAGACCAAAGAGCCGGCAUGGUCCAGACAAAGGAGCAGUUUGAGCUUGCGCUGACAGCCGUAGCAGAGGAGGUGAAUGCCAUCCUUAAAGCACUUCCACAGUGAAACUCGACGCCGCCCCACACCGUGCCACAUCUCGCUGUCUAAACACAUGUUUUUUCUGCCCACUCAAGUCUGUCAUCUCGCUUUUGUCCCAAAUGGCACCCUAAUCCCUACGCAGUGCGCUACUUUUGAACAGGGCCCAUAAGGGUCUGGUCAAAAGUGGUACACUAUGUAGGGAAUAGGGUGGUGCCAUUUGGGACAUACAUACCUAUCUUCUCUUGUUUCUCUCUCCUCUGAUUCUCGCUCUUGGAAUACUUAUGAAUGUUGUGCCAGAUACUUGACCGACCUGGUCUUCUUAAGUGUGAUGUAUUCUUUUUGCAGUUGUGUUCCAGUGCCACUUACAGAUAGCUAGACAAAGUCACGUGUGUUCUCUCUCUCUCUUUGUGAUCUGAAUAAUCUAUUAUACUAAGAAUCAGAUAAUUGGUUAUUGAUGUGUGAAGAAUAUGAUAUUGUAUUCAAGGCCUGAACAUCUGUGUCCUGUAUAUAGAGAAGAUGCUUCAAAGAACAAUGUCGAAGUGAUCUUUACUAUUAAAGUUCUGAACCACAUUCUAUGGCCCUGUUCAAAUACAUUCGAAAUGUAUCCUUCCUUCCUUGAGAAUCUGUAAGUGAUAUACACUACCGGUCAAACGUUUAGAACACCUACUCAUUCAAGGGGUUUUUCUUUAUUUUUACUAUUUUCUACAUUGUAGAAUUGUAGAAUAACACAUAUGGAAUCAUGUAGUAACCAAAAAAGUGUUAAACAAAUCUAAAUAUAUUUUAUAUUUGAGAUUCUUCAAAGUAGCCAGCCUUUGCCUCGAUGACAGCUUUGCACACUUGUCAUUCUCUCAACCUGCUCCACCUGGAAUGCUUUUCUAACAGUCUUGAAGGAGUUCCCACACAUCCUGAACACUUGUUGGCUGCUUUUCCUUCACUCUGCGCUCCGACUUUUCCCAAAUCAUCUCAAUUUGGUUGAAGUCGGGUGAUUGUGGAGGCCAGGUCAACUGAUGCAGCACUCCGUCACUCUCCUUCUUGGUAAAAUAGCACUUACACAGCCUGGAGGUAUGUUCGGUCAUUAUCCUUUUGAAAAACAAAUUAUAGUCCCAUAAGCCCAAACCAGAUGGGAUGGCGUAUCGCUGCAGAAUGCUGUGGUAGCCAUGCCGGUUAAGAGUGCCUUGAAUUCUAAAUAAAUCACAGACAGUGUCACCA